AUGAGUUGUUUGCUUCAGAAACACCAUGAUCACGAAGGUGGUUUUCCCAGGACGAGGCUUAUCCAUUGCACUCUGGGUGUGCUGACCCCUGCAAUUUCCCCAAAUGUGGGAAACUCGACUACAUAAUUUUGUGGUAGUGGGGGACUGCGUUCACGCUAUCCCCUG
rnacentral:snRNA from 1 species